rnacentral:rRNA from 1 species
UACGUAGGGUGCGAGCGUUGUCCGGAAUUAUUGGGCGUAAAGAGCUCGUAGGCGGUCUGUCGCGUCGAUCGUGAAAACUUGGGGCUUAACCCUGAGCUUGCGGUCGAUACGGGCAUGACUGGAGUUCGGCAGGGGAGACUGGAAUUCCUGGUGCAGCGGUGAAAUGCGCAGAUAUCGGGAGGAACACCGGUGGCGAAGGCGGUUCUCUGGGCCUUACCUGACGCUGAGGAGCGAAAGCGUGGGGAGCGAACAGG